rnacentral:lncRNA from 1 species
GUGAGGUUUUGGCCGUUUGCCGUGCAUGCAUCAGUGAGUGAGUGUGUCAAAUCAUAAAAAGACAUAUCACAUAAAGAUGCCUAAGAAACGCAAAAUAAAAGGACAAAAUGGAAUGUCAUUCCGGGAAUUCUCUGGGAAAAAAGAAAGACUCAUAACUUAUGAGCAAAUACAUACGUACAUUCACACGGCAGAAAGCCACAACACAAUAUUCAAAUACACUAAAAACUUCAAAUUUUGGAAGGAAAUGUGUGUGGUAGCUGGUGUCAAACCAGACGUGUCGAAUCAACAAAGAAUGCGUCUGGCUUAUAUCCGCAACAUAAAGCCUAUGUAUUGCACUCCCGAAUGCAUCCA